rnacentral:rRNA from 1 species
CCUAAGGUAGCGAAAUUCCUUGUCGGGUAAGUUCCGACCUGCACGAAUGGCAUAAUGAUGGCCAGGCUGUCUCCACCCGAGACUCAGUGAAAUUGAAAUCGCCGUGAAGAUGCGGUGUACCCGCGGCUAGACGGAAAGACCCCGUGAACCUUUACUAUAGCUUGACACUGAACAUUGAAUUUUGAUGUGUAGGAUAGGUGGGAGACUUAGAAGUAGUCACGCCAGUGAUUAUGGAGUCGUCCUUGAAAUACCACCCUUUAACGUUUGAUGUUCUAACGAAGAUUACGAAACGUGGUCUCGGACAGUGUCUGGUGGGUAGUUUGACUGGGGCGGUCUCCUCCCAAAGAGUAACGGAGGAGCACGAAGGUUUGCUAAUGACGGUCGGACAUCGUCAGGUUAGUGCAAUGGUAUAAGCAAGCUUAACUGCGAGACAGACAAGUCGAGCAGGUACGAAAGUAGGUCAUAGUGAUCCGGUGGUUCUGAAUGGAAGGGCCAUCGCUCAACGGAUAAAAGGUACUCCGGGGAUAACAGGCUGAUACCGCCCAAGAGUUCAUAUCGACGGCGGUGUUUGGCACCUCGAUGUCGGCUCAUCACAUCCUGGGGCUGAAGUAGGUCCCAAGGGUAUGGCUGUUCGCCAUUUAAAGUGGUACGCGAGCUGGGUUUAGAACGUCGUGAGACAGUUCGGUCCCUAUCUGCCGUGGGCGUUGGAGAAUUGAUUGGGGCUGCUCCUAGUACGAGAGGACCGGAGUGGACGCACCACUGGUGUUCCGGUUGUGUCGCCAGACGCAUUGCCGGGUAGCUAAGUGCGGAAGAGAUAAGUGCUGAAAGCAUCUAAGCACGAAACUUGCCAAGAGAUGAGUUCUCCCAGAUUAUAAAUCUGUAAGGGUUGUUUAAGACUAAGACGUAGAUAGGUCUGGUGUGUAAGCGGUGCGAGCCGUUGAGCUAACAGAUACUAAUUGCCCGAGAGGCUUAACUAU